rnacentral:tmRNA from 1 species
AUAACUGGCAAAUCAAACAAUAAUUUCGCAGUAGCUGCCUAAUCGCACUCUGCAUCGCCUAACAGCAUUUCCUAUGUGCUGUUAACGCGAUUCAACCUUAAUAGGAUAUGCUAAACACUGCCGUUUGAAGUCUGUUUAGAAGAAACUUAAUCAAACUAGCAUCAUGUUGGUUGUUUAUCACUUUUCAUGAUGCGAAACCUAUCGAUAAACUACACACGUAGAAAGAUGUGUAUCAGGACCUUUGGACGCGGGUUCAAAUCCCGCCGUCUCCAUAU